CUCCUCGGGAUAACUGGUUUGCAAAGUGUUCUGCCAAACAAGCUGAUGCUCUUGUGGAACACAGAAAGAAACAUGUCAACAAUACACUAGAUGACUUACAGAAAGUGAUGAAGAACUUUCAGAACAGAGCCGACUUUACAGAUGAUCUUGAAAAAUUGACUGGUGAUACUGGAGAUUUUGCAGACAUUAGAGAAGAAGUUAUAAAUGAGGAAGUAGUCACCAAAGGAAAACAUCGUCUGGCCCACAAACCCAACUCUAAACCUAAACAGGAGUAUUUGUUGAAGCUGGAGGAGGAAAGGAGAAGAAUGAA